CUUACAUGUAGUGGCACACACCUGUAGUCCCAGCUACUCGGGAGGCUAAGACAGGAGGAUUGCUUGAGUCCAGGAGUUCUGGGCUGUAGUACCUUAUGCUGAUCAGGUGACUGCGUUAAGUUCAGCAUCAGUAUGGUGACCUCCCGGGAGCAGGGUCCACCCCGUUGCUUAAGGAGGGGUGCACCAGUCCUGGUCGGAAAUGGAGCAGGUCAAAACUCCUGUGCUGAUCAAUAGUGGGAUUGCGCCUGUGAAUCGUCAAUGCAGUCCAGCCUGGGCAACACAGAGAGACCCCGUCU
ensembl:misc_RNA Metazoa_SRP Metazoan signal recognition particle RNA